GUUAACACUUGUUGCUCUCUCAUUUUGGUCGUGAGGAGUGUGUUGCUGUCAGUUCCGUGAAUUCCUGUCUGUCCGAUCACGUUUAUAUGUCAUCUUGGAUUAUUUAUCUUCCUGCUCAUUGUUUGUUUCGGAAUGUUUCCUGCUAAUUUUUCAUCCUGGCUUUUUUCCAUUGUUAUGAUCAAAAUGUGAAGAUUCGAUUUUUCAUGUACAGUAGAUUUCAAUGUAAGUACGGAAGAACGUUUUACAGAUGUGAUUAAUGGAUGCAGGGUCAAUGACAUCCGGUCUUGGCGACGUACUUUGCUACCUUUCAUUCACGAAUUUGGUGAUUUUCGGAUAGAACUGAAGAGGAUUAUAGAUGUUUUGUUACUUUUUGUUUCAGAAAAAUUGAUAAGGAUAGAAAAAAGUGGAUAUGCUCAAACGAGAAUAGUCGAGUCGAGAGAGUAGUUGAGCGAAUUCUCACCUUGGAGUGUUUAUUUCCAGCUUUGAAGUUAA